rnacentral:rRNA from 1 species
UACGAAGGGGGCUAGCGUUGCUCGGAAUCACUGGGCGUAAAGCGCACGUAGGCGGACUCUUAAGUCGGGGGUGAAAUCCUGGAGCUCAACUCCAGAACUGCCUUCGAUACUGGGAGUCUUGAGUUCGGGAGAGGUGAGUGGAACUGCGAGUGUAGAGGUGAAAUUCGUAGAUAUUCGCAAGAACACCAGUGGCGAAGGCGGCUCACUGGCCCGAUACUGACGCUGAGGUGCGGAAAGCGUGG